rnacentral:tRNA from 1 species
CAAUUUACGCUUUACUGCAUAUGAUCGAUCGCGAAAGAAUUUGUCCAACCCAUCAA